GGAUAACUACUGGAAACGGUAGCUAAUACCGCAUAACGUCGCAAGACCAAAGAGGGGGACCUUCGGGCCUCUUGCCAUCGGAUGUGCCCAGAUGGGAUUAGCUAGUAGGUGAGGUAACGGCUCACCUAGGCGACGAUCCCUAGCUGGUCUGAGAGGAUGACCAGCCACACUGGAACUGAGACACGGUCCAGACUCCUACGGAGGCAGCAUG
rnacentral:rRNA from 1 species